rnacentral:tRNA from 3 species
GCCGGGAUAGUCUAGUCUGGUAAGGCGCGGGACUUGAAAUCCCGUGGAGAGUCUCUCCGCCUGGGUUCAAAUCCCAGUCCCGGCG